AGAAAAAUAUUCAUAACAUCAAGACAUAGGCAAAGUGUCUGCAGCCCUGAACGGGUUCAGAUCCAACAACUAAACCUGAGUCAGACUUCAGAGAGGGGGAGUAAGCACUGAGGCAGGGCUCACUGGGCGGCCAAGGUUUGCUCAGCCUCCUCCUCACACUAGUAGAUUCCUCAGAAUCUGCAUGUUUGUCACCAGACUAAAUUUGUGCCACUUUGAACCCUAUCUUCUCUUUAGGACAUGCUGAACCUACGCCACUGGCUAGAUGUCCUGCCUGAAGAGAGUUAACAGUUUCUGAUGAGUGCACCCAAGCCAGACACUGUCACAUGCCACGUGAUGGUCUUGACCAUCUGGAGGUGGGUGCUGAGUAUAAAGGUUUCCCCUUAGAAGUGGGGGAUGGACUGGCCACCAAGUCGGGCCUUCCUUGAGAAGCCACCUGAUCCAGCACCUGGCCUUUGGCUUGGGUGGCUGUGCUGAGGAGUGUCCGAGGUGAUCAGGCUAAUAGGACCUGAGGUCACCAGCCCUGACCCGAUUCACAUGAAUGCCGUGUCACUAGUGUGUAAACCAGGUGCUCAGAGAGUCACCUGCUGUGGGGAGUUCUUUUCCACUGUCCGUGACUGUGCUGGGUGCGUGGAAGCAGACUGAGUAUCACGCUGACUCAGCGUGAGCAAGAGGCGGGCUGCCCAGGGGACACGAAACCCAGACUGGGAUGCGACCUGAGCAUUAUCCCAUAGUGAGCCCAAGAGAGCACCCCGCUCCUCUCUUGUGACUGCCUCUGUCACCCUGAAGGGCGGCCUGGUCGGCACCAGCCAUGACACCCCUCUCCUGUGCUCCCAAUCAGCCCUAGCCCUUUGGUUAAGAGUUGUUGUCCAGCCAGGACAAAAUUAAAGGUGCAGUCCCAGUCGUCCCCACUCUGUGGUCACACCCAGCCCAGGAUGACUGGAGUUUUGGGUCUCCUCAUGCCUGUCACCAACACAGCAACCGAGAUCUGGGGCCAGCUCCUCUCCAAUGACUGUGUUUGUGCAUUUUUCAUUUCUAGCUCUAGACGCUGGGUGGGGCUCUUUGCUGCCAUUUCAACUUGUUACUACUUAGAGAAAUCAACAUCCAUAUUUUACAGAAAACACACUGCUGCUUAGAGAACUAAUCUCCAGGAGUCCUGACCACGAAGACUCCCCCAGCUUCUCACCGAUCGCCUUGCUGAGGCCCAGGCCCAGGUCCCUGGGUGGGAGGCAGCAGAUGGAGGACGGCUAUGGACAGAGGACAGCGAGCCCGGGCAACGUGCAGAGAGCUCGGUGUCGCAGCCCGUGAGCAAAUCCCUGGAGAACAAAUGGGAAGCAGCCUGGCCAGUCCACUCACAGACAUGAGACCCCCGACGAGGUCGUUGGCAUGAGGGUCGUCGUCCUUGGCUCCAAACUGCGUUCUAGGCACAGGAUGCACGUGCCCCCACAGAUCGAACAUCUGACGUCACCGACCAGAGAGAAAACAGAGGGGACAAUCCAGUAAGCCACGGCCAAACAGUGAGCCUCUUUCGUGUUUCUAACAAUAAGGCUUUAGAACUCUCCAGCUUGCCGCGCUCCAGGAGUAAGAAUGUUUUGGAAGAUAGUUACACAGACUCUUUGUCUCAUAUAUGGCAAGAGCGAGAAAUACAACUCAUCAUGAACUGAAAUACAUGACUUUCUGGUUACAGUUUUCAAGGCACCCUUUGGUGCUUUCCACCGUUAGGCUUAAUCUAGCAUAAUUAGGUAAAUACCUUAAACAAGGCAAGCAGCAACGCCUAGGCUCUAAAGUUUGUUAAUUUUUGGUUGCUCCUGUCAAAGUGUGGUCCCUUUGGGGUGGGGAGAACCCGAGCAGUGCCCAGGCAGGAGAAAAUUUUCACAUAGAGUUCUGUGUGUCCCCCUGAAAGCCCCACUGUCAGGCCUUACAGGACCACAGCCGGGUGUGACAGCCUCGUGUUCCCAGACCAAGGCCCAAGGAGAAGCACCGUGCAAGGCUAACCAAUGCUUUAAAUGUUGGGGACCGACAAAACUCUUUGUCUAAUUUUGGUGACCAGCAUAUGGUUGUCAACUUUCCAUUUUACCCAACUGGUCAUUAAGCCAAAAAUAAAAACCACUGUUUUAGCACUAUGUCAUAAAAGAACUUGUUCUCAUUUUAAAAUAUAAUGAAAGUGACAUAUGCUUACAAAAACCAAACAGUAAUGUAAAUAUUAAUAAAGUUAGAAAAAGAAAAGGUAUAAAGUUGUCGUGACUCUGUAUGCAGAAACAUCUGUACAAACACUAACUACCCUUACGAUCACUGAGUAAGUUUAUCAAGCUCACUUGGUACAAGGUCAACACAUCAACGUGUUUCUGUAUGCUAGCAACAAACAGUUGGAAAUUAAAAUAAAAAGCAACCACUAUGAUGUGACAGCAUCAAAAAACACCAAUAUUUAGGAAUAAUGCUAAUGAAAGAUGUGCAAGAUUUAUAUACUGAAAAUGCAAAACACUGCUGAGAGGAAAUAAAGACACUGAAGCAGAGGACAGAACUUAACCCCACCCUUUCAGUCCCUGAGUGAGAUUUCCAUUUUCCCCAAAUACUAUAGGUUCAGAGCACUUCAUAGGAUUUUUUUUUAGAUAAAAAUCCAAGA